AUGACCCGUGAUUCCGUGAAUCUCACUCCCUUACAACGGGCAAAAUAUGCUGCUUAUUUUCUCCGAACUGAUUCUGUAGCAUUUUUCGUUCCGCUAGUGUUUUUUACUUAUCUUUUCUUGUUGAAAGUAAAGUUGUUCCGAAUGCGAUUCUUGCUGCGAGAGCUUUUCGAUUUUGAUUUUCGCAUCAGGAUAAUUGUUCUGGAACUUUGUUUGCUCUUUGAUUACUCCCACUAA